rnacentral:rRNA from 1 species
AGGACGAACGCUGGCGGCGUGCCUAACACAUGCAAGUCGAACGAGGCUUAUCCGGUAGCAAUACCGGAGACUGCCUAGUGGCGAACGGGUGAGUAGCACGUGAGCAACCUGCCCCGAAGACUGGGAUAACACCGGGAAACCGGUGCUAAUACCAGAUGCCCCCACCGGAUCGCAUGAUCUGGUGAGGAAAUGGAUUCCGCUUCGGGAGGGCUCGCGGCCUAUCAGCUAGUUGGUGAGGUAACGGCUCACCAAGGCUUCGACGGGUAGCUGGUCUGAGAGGACGAUCAGCCACACUGGGACUGAGACACGGCCCAGACUCCUACGGGAGGCAGCAGUGGGGAAUCUUGCACAAUGGGCGAAAGCCUGAUGCAGCAACGCCGCGUGAGGGACGAAGGCUUUCUGAGUUGUAAACCUCUUUCAGCAGGGACGAUUGUGACGGUACCUGCAGAGAGCCCGGCAACUACGUGCCAGCAGCCG